rnacentral:tmRNA from 1 species
GGGGGUGAAAGGGUUCGACGGCUUUGACAAAGGAAGGCUACAGGCGGAGCUAGUUAGCUCCUAAAACUGACUAACUUUUCUCUAAUAAAUGCCACUAACAAUUCGGCAUCCACUUCUAGCUUUAGCUUCGGUAAUGCAGCUACUGCUGCUGCUCCUGUAGGCUAAGCUAGCUAAAGUGGCGUUCCUCAUGCUUUUUGCUCGUAGGAGCUUGAGGAACGACGACUAUACGGGCUUACCUUCUGCUUUUGCUCUGAGGUAGAAGGAAAAAUUUCAAGAGCUCGGGGUUUGAGCGGCUGUUCCGUGGCGCUCUUGUCCUUAAACACAAAACGGAGCUAAGCCUGUAAAUGCCGCACGGAGUCAAAGUCGGACGUGGGUUCGAUUCCCACCACCUCCACCA